rnacentral:sRNA from 1 species
ACAACAAAAAUAACAAGACACAUCUGAUAACAAGAACAAGACAACGGCUCUAGCAUAAGAAAGACAAAAACGCAGAGACGCAGCUAACUGAUUUCUUUGGAGAGGACCGCCCUCGGGCUUGUACCGCAACCGGGUCGAGAACAAUAAAACUGCUUUGCAAGGCAGCGACAGACGGGUUGGAUCUACGGAUCACGGCAACAUCAGCGUCCAAACAAAUCCGUUCGCUCUUGGCCUCGCUUGGAGGCCUUGGCUAAAACAAGAACAACAGGCCAGUAGUACUAAUAAGAACGACGAUACGAACAAGACUUGGGGGAGCUUCGGCUCCCCCUUCUGCUUUCUGGCGUUUAUGCCGACUUC